AGGGGUAUAGUUUAAUGGUAAAACGAAGGUCUCCAAAACCUUUGAUGUGGGUUCAAUUCCUACUACCCCUG
rnacentral:tRNA from 2 species